GGAGAGAUGCCCGAGUGGCUAAAGGGAGCGGACUGUAAAUCCGUUGGCUACGCCUACGAUGGUUCGAAACCAUCUCUCUCCACCA
rnacentral:tRNA from 1 species